rnacentral:lncRNA from 1 species
UUGUCCUAAUCAGUGCAAAAAUAGUUUAUAUUUACCGUAAUUAUCAAACAUGUAGUCCUUGUUUGAAUUAUAACUCUAAGGAUGACAUAAACUCAAACCAAACUAAUAAAGGGUUCCAUAAUUGGCUCAUAGCCGGUUUGGCCAAGUUUCUUUUUGGUCAAAAGUUCUUUUUUAGGCCAAAAAUUGAGGUGCUUGACAAAGCUUUUGGAAGGAAAAAAGUUCUUUUGAGGAGAAGUAGAAGGAGUUUUGGAGAAGCAGAAAAAAAUAGCUUCUCUCCAAAAGCACUUUUUUGAGAAGUACUUUUGAGAAAAAUACACGUAGAAGCAAUUUUUUCCAGCUUGGCCAAACAUUAAUUGUUGCUCAGAAGUGCUUUUCAAUCUAAUUAGGCAAACACAAAAUGCUUUUAACCAAAAGUCUUUUGCUAAAGUACUUUUGAAAAAAAGCACUUCUUAAAAUAAGCUGAUUUUUGCAUCUUGGUCAAACGGGCUAUCAAUCCUGCACUACAGUACACUCAAACCUUCUAAAUGUUCAAACACCAAGACCCUCAGCCCAAAUCACAAAUAAACAUAAGAGGCUAAGAGGCUAGACUAUAACUUGAAGAGGAACUACAAGAACAACAAAAUGAUCGAAUGGAAAACACAUAAAACAAACUGAAAUUAAUACAUGGACAUGGAACGAAUCUAAAAGUGUAAGUUAAUUUUCAGCAAAACUAAGAUUUAUCCUCAAAUCUCUAACUUGGUUAAAUGUUUCAGAUUUGCACCUCACAUAGCGAUAGAGGCCAGGGAGUACCUGGAGAUCAUAAUAAACAAGAGAUGAUGAGGACUUCAGCAAUAACAAAAGAGUGAGCAUAUCAACAAGUCAAACAGCCAUAUUCAUCUUCCUUAAUCCAUUUUUAAACACUAGAUAAUAAGUAAUCCCUUAAAACGCUUACAUUUUUUCUGCAAUAAACCAAGAAGCAAUUUCAAACAAUUUUACAAUUAAAAAUUAUGCAGAACUUUGACUGUUUUUUCUCAGAGUAUCAGUGAAUCAUUUUUUAAUUAACGAAAGGUUUAUGGAUAACCUUCUUUGGUGGCCAUGUGUUGCAAAAAUUUAAUGGGAAUCAUUCCCUCAUAGGCAUCUUUUUUCAAUAGAAUUGGGAUAGCUGGAAGCCUGUAAUAGGCUCCAACAUUUGUGCUGGCCAAGAUUGGGUCAACUGCCCAUAUUUUAAAAGUUUCCCUAACAGAAAACUUUGAUUUUCUAUUCUUAAAACACCUCCCAAGUUUCCUAUUAUUCACUUCUCACCCUAACAGUUUCCUAACAACUACUAACUAGACAAACAAUAGAAAAUGGGAAACUAUGAGUAAAAUUAAAUCAAACAGUCAGCUACUUGACAAAUUCAUCUAUAAUCAAAUAAGAAUGAGAAUUGAUCAUUUAGCACCAAAAUCUCAAUACAAAAGGAAAAUUUAUAUCUAAAUCAUGCAAUUUAGGACUAUGAAUUAUAAUAGAAACAACAAUUAAAAGAACGAUAACUCAUGAUAACCCCACCCCAAAAGAGAUAUGAUUUAAUCAAAUGAACAAAAUUAAAAAAAAAAAAGAAUAACCUAAUGACUUAAACAAACCCAUAACAGAAACUAAUGAGCAGGCAAAUGGUUAAAAUGAAACUAGAAUCAUGAAGAAAAUAAAGCAAAGCAAAAGAGGGAACGAUGAGAUACUGGCUAACCGGGAAAUGGCUUGGUAAUUAAAUCCAAGUAAUGGCAAAGAAGGCGGAGAAAUAAUGAUUGACCAACGUGGAUGGCUCUCAAAUAUCGAACAAAAACUCGUGUUAAUCAAGGGCUCCAAACGAGAACUCUUGGUUAACACGGGUCUUGGUCUCAGCAGAACUAGGGUUUUCUUUCUUUUCAAUUUUCAGAUCCAAAAUUGGGGGAACUUCAAAGUGUUUUGGGGGGUUUUACUAAUGGAUUUGGGAAGAGGAGGGGACAGGGACCUCCUUGUAUCAGUUUUGGGGUGUUUGAAGGAAUUAUGAUUUAGGACUCUGAUCUUCAAUCUAAGAUUCGAAGGGCUUGAUGAUGAUUUGGGGAAAAUGGUUGGGGUUUUUCGGAAAGAGGAGGGAACGGGGGAUAUGUGGUGUUAAUUUUGGGAGGUUUGGACCACCGAAACUUCCAUGAGGCGAAUUCCAGUGGGUGGUUGACGGCGGAGCCGGUGGGGAAUCUUAGCGCAGCGGCUAGGGUUUCGUUCUCUGAAUUGAGAGACAAGAAUAAGGGGGAAUGGAAUUNNN